rnacentral:rRNA from 1 species
UACGUAGGGUGCAAGCGUUAUCCGGAAUUAUUGGGCGUAAAGAGCUCGUAGGCGGUUUGUCGCGUCUGCUGUGAAAACCCGAGGCUCAACCUCGGGCCUGCAGUGGGUACGGGCAGACUAGAGUGCGGUAGGGGAGAUUGGAAUUCCUGGUGUAGCGGUGGAAUGCGCAGAUAUCAGGAGGAACACCGAUGGCGAAGGCAGAUCUCUGGGCCGUAACUGACGCUGAGGAGCGGAAGCGUGGGGAGCGAACAGG